UACGAAGGGAGCUAGCGUUGUUCGGAAUGACUGGGCGUAAAGGGUGUGUAGGCGGUCGUACACGUCAGAUGUGAAAUCCCCGGGCUUAACCUGGGAAUGGCAUUUGAUACGGUAUGGCUAGAGAUUGGUAGAGGGUAGUGGAAUUGCGAGUGUAGAGGUGAAAUUCGUAGAGAUUCGCAGGAACACCGGUGGCGAAGGCGGCUACCUGGGCCAAUACUGACGCUGAGGCACGAAAGCGUGGGGAGCAAACAGG
rnacentral:rRNA from 1 species